AGAAGAGGUUCUCACUCCCAUCCCCUCUCCCGUGGCUGGAGACCUUGGGCAAGUCACUCCACCUCUCUGGGGAGAAGAGGCAUUUGCUAAUGGAUUUAGCAGUCAUUAGAAGAACUGACAAUAACUAAUGGGAGAAAGGGAUUAAUAAUAAUCAUAGUUUGUCCAUUCAGUGAAGACAGUUUAACCGCUGAUAAAAACUAUACUACAGCUAAAAAAGAAAUUAAGAAUGAUUCUGAAAUUUCAAAGAGAUGUCGACUUAAGGAAGAAAUGGAAAGAAAUGAAAAUUUGCAAUGUCACAAAGCCAGAGCAUGCAUGGAAGAAGAAAUCUUGACCUGAAAUGACCGCAGAACCAAGGAUUCUCCCCCCAAAUGGAACAAAAGGACCAGGACAUGACUGGAACUUAAAAAGUCAGACUCUAAUCAGAA
rnacentral:lncRNA from 1 species